GGAGUCUGGGCCGUGUCUCAGUCCCAAUGUGGCCGAUCAACCUCUCAGUCCGGCUACCGAUCGUCGGCUUGGUGAGCCGUUACCUCACCAACUACCUAAUCGGACGCGAGCCCAUCCUUCAGCGAAUAAAUCCUUUGGUAAUCGGGGGAUGUCCCCCAACCACAUUAUGCGGUAUUAGCAGUCGUUUCCAACUGUUGUCCCCCACUGAAGGGCAGGUUGCUCACGUGUUACUCACCCGUCCGCCACUAAGUUUAUAUCUCGUCCCCCCGAAAGGUUCUGAAAUGUAAACUCCGUUCGACUUGCAUGUGUUAGGCACGCCGCCAGCGUUCGUCCUCGAGCCAUGAUCAAACUCU
rnacentral:rRNA from 1 species